UUUCCUUUCUUUUCGAAAACUCUCAUUCCUCUUCUUCUUCUUCUUCUACCCGUGACACACACACACUCACACACACCCAUUGUUGCACCUGCUUGAGGACAUAGCCACCAUCAUCAUCAUCAUCAAACCUUAGCUCUCUCUCUCUCUCUCUCUCUCCCUUGCUCACGGCGCCAAGAGGGUACGAGCACCUCCGGCGAAUUUAGCUUGUUUUCCGGUUGGGUUUUGGAGUGCUUUGGCACGGGUGAAGGCACCCAAAUUUUCCGGCGAGUGUGUGUGGUUUCCGAGGGAUUUUCCGGCCACCACAAGCCGUUACACGGCUAACCCAAGGGGCAAUUAUCGAUGGCGUUUCCUUCUUCGCUAGAUGACGUGGCUUUUCGACGGCGAAGUAC